AUUGAACGCUGGCGGCAGGCCUAACACAUGCAAGUCGAGCGGAUGAAGGGAGCUUGCUCCUGGAUUCAGCGGCGGACGGGUGAGUAAUGCCUAGGAAUCUGCCUGGUAGUGGGGGGUAACGUCCGGAAACGGGCGCUAAUACCGCAUACGUCCUGAGGGAGAAAGUGGGGGAUCUUCGGACCUCACGCUAUCAGAUGAGCCCAGGUCGGAUUAGCUAGUUGGUGGGGUAAAGGCCUACCAAGGCGACGAUCCGUAACUGGUCUGAGAGGAUGAUCAGUCACACUGGAACUGAGACACGGUCCAGACUCCUACGGGAGGCAGCAGUGGGGAAUAUUGGACAAUGGGCGAAAGCCUGAUCCAGCCAUGCCGCGUGUGUGAAGAAGGUCUUCGGAUUGUAAAGCACUUUAAGUUGGGAGGAAGGGCAGUAAGUUAAUACCUUGCUGUUUUGACGUUACCAACAGAAUAAGCACCGGCUAACUUCGUG
rnacentral:rRNA from 1 species